rnacentral:rRNA from 1 species
UACGGAGGGGGCUAGCGUUGUUCGGAAUUACUGGGCGUAAAGCGCACGUAGGCGGCUUUGCAAGUUAGAGGUGAAAGCCCGGGGCUCAACUCCGGAAUUGCCUUUAAAACUGCAUCGCUAGAAUUGUGGAGAGGUAAGUGGAAUUCCGAGUGUAGAGGUGAAAUUCGUAGAUAUCGGGAGGAACACCAGUGGCGAAGGCGGCGAUCUGGGAAGAUACUGACGCUGAGGUGCGAAAGCGUGGGGAGCAAACAGG